ensembl:snoRNA
AGCAGUUGUGUCUGUUUUUAAUUUGUGGACGAAGACUUACAGGUGCAGAAAUAAAUCCUUUUUUGCAACCCAGAAUUCAUUGUUCAGUAUGAGUUUUGAUACACAUAAAAAGGAACAAU